AAGAAUAGGAGAGGUAUGUGAGGUGUGUGAACAUAGAGUGAAAAGCUCCAACCUCCUUUGUCAUGAUAAUUCAGUUAAAUGUGAAAAGAUGCUGAGUCAAGGCUGAACAGAGCUCUACUCUGGUUUACCUCACAUUCUCUAGCAUAUUUUUUAAUAAGUAUUGCUCGGUGGUUGGAAAUGCAAGUAAGAAUUUUCCUGUACUCUUUAACCUGCACAUUAUUGCUACUGGUAUAUGUGAAGGUCACUCCUGCCUGAAAUGGUUACAUGGGGAUAUUUGGGUGAAUUGUGGCUAAUCCUGAUGUCCGCACAAUGACUACUUCUUCAAAUGGUCAUCCUUUUAAUACUUGUGCCCUCUUCAUCUCUUACCUUGAUCUUCAUGGUGCUGGGGGCCAGGGCAGUGAUUUCCUUCUGCAUACGGUCAGCAAUACCAGGGUACAUUGUGGUUCCACCAGACAGUACAUUGUUGGCAUACAGGUCCUUACGGAUGUCAAUAUCG